rnacentral:rRNA from 1 species
UACGGAGGGUGCAAGCGUUAUCCGGAUUCACUGGGUUUAAAGGGUGCGUAGGUGGCUUUGUAAGUCAGUGGUGAAAUACCGCAGCUCAACUGCGGAACUGCCAUUGAUACUGCUCAGCUUGAAUCAGGUCGAGGUGGAUGGAAUAUUACAUGUAGCGGUGAAAUGCUUAGAUAUGUAAUAGAACACCGAUUGCGAAGGCAGUUCACUAGGCCUGAAUUGACACUGAGGCACGAAAGCGUGGGGAUCAAACAGG